GUGUCAGCAGCCGCGGUAACACGAACCGUACAAACGUUACUCGGAAUUACUGGGCUUAAAGGGUGCGUAGGCGGCUUGGUAAGUUGGGCGUGAAAGCCCUCGGCUCAACCGAGGAAUUGCGUUCAAAACUGCCGGGCUUGAGGGAGACAGAGGUGAGCGGAACUUAGGGUGGAGCGGUGAAAUGCGUUGAUAUCCUAAGGAACACCAGGGGCGAAAGCGGCUCACUGGGUCUCUUCUGACGCUGAGGCACGAAAGCUAGGGGAGCGAAGAGGAUUAGAUACCCCCGUAGUCC
rnacentral:rRNA from 1 species